GCUCUUACCACCACUCUUCUUUCCUUAGAGAGAGAGAGAGCAAUCCUUCGCCUGCUUUCUCUCUUUUUCUACCUGUGAUUUACUGCCAAGUUGAGAACACGCUCGGUCUAUUCUUACUAUGUCUAUGGCCAGUUCCCAUUCCAGUAUAUAUAUAUUUCAGUGGAUGAAUGUCGUACCAAGCAAGAGUCGUAUUGGAAAAUAUUCAUUUAUUUGCAGUGCACAUUUUAAUGACUGAUUUUGCACCUUCCGAAAAGAAUCGGAUAUUAAAAAAGAAUGCUGUGCCACGUCACUUUGAAGGCAACGAAGUAUCCAAAUUUUUAAUGAAUUCUAGAUUACGCCAAUCUGUGCAGAGGAUAAUUUAAAGACAAGUGAGCACCUUGCGUUAAAAAAAAAACCUACCAUCUACAUCUUCUACUUCUCAAGUGAAAGUAAAAUAUAUUUUUGCUAUUUUUUUGGGUGUACUUGAAAAUUAUAUACAUUGCUUAUUAAAGUAAUGUUAAGUAAUGUUAAGUUUUAAGUUUUAAAAUGAUUUACAUUUAAUCUAUCAACGAUGCGCUAAAACGUGAUAUUAAUAUUAUUUCAUAACUGUUAUUUAUUUGUAUACAUUUAUAUCAUGUUAAACAUUAAUGUAAUACUCUUUAUAUGGUACUUCGAAAAGUUUUGUUUCUUAAGUGUUAAGUGUUAAAACCUUAAUAUUGUAUAAGACUAAUUUUUGCGCAAUUUUGUUUCUUUAUAAUAAAUUAUGAAGUUUUAUGUUUUUUUUGUACCUGGAAAAAUGGAUAAAAAUGGA